ensembl:lncRNA
CGGUAAACAAGGCCUGAAGACCAACGGCCAACCAAGAUUGCUGUUUCUAGCCAAGCUGUACUGUGAAGAGAUGGGGCCAUUCCAGGCACGCAUAAACUAAGGCAACUCAUGACCACCAAGACAGCGCAACAGAAGCAAUACAGCACUCGGAGGAAGAGGAAAGACAGACUCAACCCCAAAGGCACAGUACAGUUUCCAUAGUAAAUGAAAAGAGUGAACUCGAUCCAGGAAGGAACCCUCAUGUGCUGCAGAGUAAGUCAACCAACUGUUGAUAUGUACAAGGGAGGAAUAAAAACAGCUCAAUCAACCAGAUACUCGACCAACAAAAUUACAUCAGCGUGAAAUAGGAUGUUUGCAGAACAAACUAGAGAAAUUCCAGCGUCCGUGGUGGAGGGAUCGAUGCUAUCUGGAGAGCCAGAGGGUCUGGGACAGCAGACAGUAUGAGAACCAUAGGUCACAGCCUCAAGAAGUCCUCAGUGGACUUUCAGGAGCAGAGGGGAGACCGAGCACGACAGGCAGCGACACUGGCAGAGGAGAAGGGGGUUGUCAGUUUGGUGACUCUGGACCCUCCCUGGACUCAAAGCAAGUAUCAUAGGGCUACAUUGAAAGCUGGCCUGAAAAAGAGUCAAUGUAGACAGUAGGGAAGAAACUGAGUCUGAAGCAUCGAGUCAAUGGAAGAGUGACUUGAGCCACAGCCCGCUGAGGUACACAGACAUGCGCUCUAAACACUUGCCCACUGUUGGGAAGGAAUACCCAGGAGCAUGAGCCAUGUUUGCAGCCAGAGCCAGUGAAAGGUUACCGCCAGGCAGAAGGGACGACAGCUUCUUCCCGUGAGCUGCCAAAGAUUGCCCAGGGCUGCGACUAGCAUCAGUAGCCCAGCAAAGGAAUAAAGAGAAAGAGAAAACCAGUACCCGGGUGUAGAGCACGUUCAGACUCCGCCCUCCACGCAGGCCAACUAAGACCUCCCUAUCUGAUGCUCGAUAUCAUCAGAGACAGACACAGAAGAAGCUUUUAACAGAUGCUUAUUGGAAGAGAGAAAAAAAUGAAGAAACAAAAGUUCUGUCACGUUUUUCAAGCAUGAUGCCGCGUGUAAUCCCAGCUUCCAUUUCUCUCUUCUUGGAUGUGGAUAACAAGAGCCUCAGCUGGUAACAAAGAAAAACCCAGGAACAGCUGAACUGCCAGAGGCUGACCCCACCAACCCCCACCACGGUCAUUCCCUGAACCAAGUCUGAGAUGCUGGCGACCCAGUGGCUGACACUUGUCCUCGGGGUUUCAGAAACAGUUUCACAACAUGCUACCUUACCCUAGGAAGGAAGCAGCAUUCAUUGCUUUCAUUCCUUCGUGGGGCUCUUAGCUGCUCUUUUCUUUGAUCAGCUGGUACAGGAAAUAGUGUACGGUUUCUUAGGCACAGCCAACUCUCUCUCGCCACACCCAGACAAUGUUCUAAAGUUUUUAUUGGAUCUGAGUGUGCCAACCUUGUGCUGUGGAAUUAAGCGAGGGUUGCUAAAUAUCAUUCAUCUUGCAACAUCAGAUGUCAUUCUCUGUGUAUGUGUCCUGUCUCCCUAGACUAUGAGCAGGGGAGACAGGGUCUCUGUGUUAAUGACGACAGUGACAUCUUCAGAAAUAAUAAUGGAUAAGUUAAUCUUAGCUGCUCCUAACAUAUGCU